rnacentral:rRNA from 1 species
UGGGGAAUUUUGGACAAUGGGCGCAAGCCUGAUCCAGCCAUGCCGCGUGAGUGAAGAAGGCCUUCGGGUUGUAAAGCUCUUUCGGCUGGGAAGAAAUCGCAUCUCCUAAUACGGGGUGUGGAUGACGGUACCAGCAUAAGAAGCACCGGCUAACUACGUGCCAGCAGCCGCGGUAAUACGUAGGGUGCGAGCGUUAAUCGGAAUUACUGGGCGUAAAGCGUGCGCAGGCGGUUUCGUAAGACAGAGGUGAAAUCCCCGGGCUCAACCUGGGAACUGCCUUUGUGACUGCGAGGCUAGAGUAUGGCAGAGGGGGGUGGAAUUCCACGUGUAGCAGUGAAAUGCGUAGAGAUGUGGAGGAACACCGAUGGCGAAGGCAGCCCCCUGGGCCAAUACUGACGCU